GGGAGAUGAUUGCAGAGGAACCUGCUGCUCAUUUGUAGCGUGAAACCACGCAGCUCCUCCUCUGGCUGCCACUGUGCUCCUGCUUAUAGGGCAGCUACUCAGCUCAUCUGUGUUUACCCUAAAGAUGGGGGGCAGGCGUAGCCUUUCUGUACACCCAGCGUGAAGUGGCUUACCCCUCCGUGAAACUCAGGUGAGCUGCUUCUCUGCCGACUGCAAACUGGGAGCAUCUUCACGGGGAACUUUUCCGCUGAAAUCAAAGUGAAACUUCACCCUGGGCUUUCUUAUUGCUGCCUCCUGAGUCACCACAUCCUUCUCUUGUCACCACCACCUUUCUGUUUAGAAAGUGAUAAUGAGACGCAGUGUUCAGCAGUGAGAACUGGGUCUGUGUGCGAGGAAUGAAUUUACAGAGGGGUUAAAAUUCGCUCUUUGAAAGCAGAGAGCACCAAAAGGUCCACCUGGGGAGUCAGUUGUUGGCGUGCUGCAGUUUUACAGUGCUUCCCUACAUUUCUUGUGGAGACAAGCCCCAAGGAAUCUGAAGACUUGGCUUAUUUUCCUGAUCCUGCAACAGAUCCUGCCUUGCCCGGCUAUGGGUAAGUCUUUUAGGUGCACAUUUUCAAGCGCAGGCUUUAAUUUUAGCCCUCUGGCUUAAGAUAUCCAGAAUCUGUCCUGCGUGUGUAUUAAUCUCUUACAGCUCCAGCCAAAAUUAGCAGAAGCUGCCUGUACACAAAGGUGCACAGAAAAUUAGAUGCUACUUAGGAAAACAAGGCCUGCCCUGUCUUACUCAGCUUGCUUAUGUGUUUAGUGGGGAUGAUAACACCUGUCCAGCUGCGGAGACAUCAGGCUAAAUUAAUUAAGGUUAGCAAAGGAUGUGAAGCAAUUAAUUAGUUUUUGCAGAGUUGCUUUGCAUGUGUAGAGGAGAAGAGCUCUUUGAGCACCGUUUCUCCUGCUUUGGUCUUUCUACUGGAUUCAAAUGAGGAUAAACAUUACCUCCUUCACAGAAAGCUCAGCUAAAUGUUAUGUGCCCGUGAAGAGUUUGGUUUUACUUGGAAGGAGUAGGGCAUGAGAUUUUGGUUCCUCUCACUUGUUUAUGAGCAUGAAUUUACUACACAUAAAUCACUGCAGGUCAGAACAUUGCUGUUGCCUUAACACAAAGUAAGAGAGCACAGAAUCACCCUUUAAUGUUGUGCAAUUGGACAGGAUUUGGCUUGUCCUGAUUUUGUGUUUGGAGAACUCGGGCUGCCCUUUGUGCUCGAUGUUCUACCUCUUUUUCUCUUGAAGGUCCAGUGGAGAAAUCCGACUGGGCGCGUUUGCAUCACUCACUCACUGCCUGUUCUUUGUCUGUGUGCAGUGUUUUGCUGAAAUUAAAGCACAGCUUUCUUCUCUUUGCUCACUGUGGGAUUUCCCGGUGUUUCACAAGGCUGCCGUUUGAUGAACAUUUCAAGCUGGCACUGAUGCUGAAAGAAAGAGUCAUGUUUUCUUUAUACCUGUUCCCUUGUAUCUAGUCCAGCGUGCACGUGGAUGUAAGAUGGACCAGAUCAGGGAGGGAAUCUGGCUCAGAAAAUAGCUGUUUCUGUCUUGUAAUCACAUUUGUUUUAUGUGGUUCCCUUUCAUGACAGGGCUUAGCAGCAGGGCAAAGAAGAGGAGCUGGGAAGAGAAGGAGGAGAGGCCAGGCUUCUCCAGGUGGAGAGCCUUGCUGUUUCCCACCCCGUGUCUCUUUGUCUCUCACUCUACUAUCUCCUGGAGUUGGCAACAAGUUAAUGUGACUCGGGAGCCAGAAGGUGAGGGGGUUGCUGUGGAUGAAGGCCUACAUUGUGUCCUUCUGAACCCAAGGCUAUUCCCCUCCCCCUUUCCAUUCUUUGGGUUACUCAGCAGAGCUGCUCCGAUUCACAUAAGCUAACAAUCUGUUGAGAAGAAGCAGUUAGGGCCAUAGAAGUUGUUGACAUCCUAUUUUCUUUUUUUUCUUUUUCUUUUUCUUUUUCUUUUUCUUUUUCUUUUUCUUUUUCUUUUUCUUUUUCUUUUUCUUUUUCUUUUUCUUUUUCUUUUUCUUUUUCUUUUUCUUUUUCCUUUUCUCUUUCUUUUUCCAGUGGCAUAACCGGUACUCCAGCUUAGCUCAUCCUUUUGUGCUCUCCAUCCCUUGCGUUGAAUCCAUGAGGAUGCACGAGGGUAGAACUUCAGAUCCCCCCCCAUCCCCCCAACCAGCUGGGACCAGCAGCUAAAGACAUUCAGCAUUUCUCACAGUCCACAGCGUAGCUUUUGAGCUGGCUGGUAAUUGGAAACACUGUGCACUCCACUGCUCGGUCUCGCAGGCUCCCUGGCCAGCUGUGGGCUGCUCACCACCACCGCUGAGCCCGCAGUGCAGGGACGAGCUGCAGCGCCUGGUGAGGAUGGGCUGUGGUUGCGGGAGGCCAUCAGGUCGGCUUGCGUGUCUUUUUCCAGGAAGUCGAGUGCAUACUCCCUGCUUCUUCUUUUUUUUUUUUUUUCAUGAUCUUCAAGAGUUCAGCUCAAAGCAGCUGCAGAAAAAAAGCAUCCUGCUGCAGAAGAGCCAAUGGCCCUGGGAACAGACUGCUUUUAUAAAAAGCCUUACGAGAGCCAGAUGCCCCCUACCCUGACAAAGACUGAUCAGGUGGCUGCUGGUAUCGCCUUUCACUGCUCUUUGGCAAGGGUGGAAACACAGAAUGAUGGCAGUCCCCCAGCACUUCCCCACCCGAGCGGCCGCAGCAGGUGAUCCGUGGAGGAAGAGGAGGAUGAAGCCCGGCGUGCGAGCCAGCCCCGCCGGCUGCCGAGUGCCACCAGAGGGUGCUGCGCCGUACCGCCGGCCGGCAGGGACGGAUGGGAACGGGAGGGAUGCGAGAGGGACGCGGGAGGCUGCGGCCCCAGCCAGCUCCCUGCCUGCCAGCUCCUGCUGUGGUUGCCAGGCUGCUUGGUUUGGUUGCCCCGCAGCUAGCUAGUUCCGUCUGAUGGACCUCAGCUCCCUCUGGAGAAAACAAACAUUUGUGGCCGUGUUGAUGUGCAAGGAGGAAAACAUUGACACCGCAGAUAACGUGGUUGGUACGUCUCGAGACAGCGUAUGUAGAAGACAGCAUUUAAAAGGGUUGGUUUAUUAACUUUGCGCUCCCGUGCCGUAACCAGCCGCCCUUUAGGGAGACAGAAUUAGCCUCUCUUUAGCAGAAGGCAUCACAUCCCUCUGCUUAUGUCCCGUGCCGCUGCUCCCCCCAGCAGCCGCACUCCUCGGUGCCUGCUGUCCCACACGUCCGGGGCUGCUGUACAGAGCGCUCCUUAUACAGACGUCUCUUGGCAUGGAGGCGCUCCCCGGGAGCACGACUGUAGGUUGAAAUUCUGCCUUCUUGGAAUAAGCAAAUGCCAGGGGUUUAUUUCCUAUUAAGCUAGCAGAUAGUUUGUGCAUUUAGCCGCAGUUUGCUGUCUCCAACCAGAUACGGGUGGAUCCUUCUUGUUUUCCUUCCUCUUUAUAUUUCCAGCCUGGGAAACAGCAAAAAGUUUGUGCAAAAGCAACAUCUGUGGGAGAGAGAGAGAGAAAAGGAUGAGGCAGGCUGGCCCGGCAGCCAGCCUCAGGAGAUGGUAAGACAGAAGAGCUAUUCAUUGUGAGAGGCAGUUGCUCCUCACCCUGCUAGACUAUAAAUUGGACACCUUAUUAAGAGCUGAUCCUCCAACAGCCCCACCCCGGGCUGUGCUCACGCUCCGGACUAGAGGAACGCAAUCCCGUUUCGCUCUGGGUGCCCGCUGUGGGGUGAGCACAUGUGUGAGCAGGACAGAGGACAUGAGGCAGAAGGAAGCAGCACACUUUUUGAUUUGUGGGUCGUCAGCUUAGGAAAACAAGGCAAACUUUUGGGAGGCAGCAGGGAGGAGGUUGGAUGGCAGCGAAGUUUGGGCUCUCACCCUAUGAUGCGCUGGUUGCCUUAGCAAAUAAUGGAAGCAGUAUUACAUUUUUUUCCUUUUUUUUUUUAACUUGUUUUCUCAGUUGUAACUUAAAAAUGCUGACUCACUGGCACUGUGUGCCAACACAAAUGUUGCUGCGGAAAUCAAUCAUCAUGAGAGCCUGGUGAGAUAUAACCCCACAGUGGCGCAGGCUUUGAAUGGGCCUCUUUGGUCAUUCCAAGUUUCUUCUUCAGACAAUUCGCCUGGAAACUUCCUUCUUGUCAGGUGAGCCCAAAGGUCUGAGCAGACUCACGCAGAUGUCACGUUGAAUGGUUGCUGUGGUGAAAAAUUCACAGGAAUGUGAGGUUAACAAAUUCAUCAGUUGUAUCAUCCUUGGCAAGACUUCUGAGCUUUCCAGCCUUUGCGCACCUUUAACCAUUUGAAAGGUUCUUGGGCUUGCAUUUGAAGUGCACAAGCUAUUGCCAGCUGCUGUCAGAAGUAAACAUCUUUAUGUAUUCUUCAGAGCUUGUUUUCGUGCUAAAGAAAGCAGGAUGGAUCACAGGCCUUUUGUACUGUUCUGAACACUAUUCCUGCUCAGACGUUCAUGUUUUUCCUUCCACGUGAAACCGAUUGGAGGAGUCAUGCAACACUAGAUGUGUUGGGAGGAGUCUGCAUUUUCAGAGCAUCUGCUCGUUGAUUUCUCUGCUGAGGUUCCUCUGUUUUAUUUUCCUUGGCAGGCAAUUUAAACAUAGUUAGAUAUAUUGCAACUGAGCGGUGGUCAGGUAAUUCAAAGUAACAUGGAAAUGUGACCUUCAUACAUGCCUCCCCGCUUCUCGGGUAGCACUAAGAUACAGGUGCAUUUCAAUAGCAUCUCCUAGAAUUGCUGACUUCAGUUGCAUCUCAUAUAAUUGAAAAACAGCCUUUGUAUUUCCUUUAGGAGGAAAUACAUUUUUUUUCAGAUCUGAAAAAUCUAGGAUAUUGCUGUGGCUCAUUUGAAAAUGGCCGCGUGAUUCUCUAGGUUGUGAUUGCCUGACUGUCGCUGGUGUAUUGGAAGGCAUUGGCUGACAAGAUGUUCCUGGAUACCUUAAUUUGUGUGCCUCAGAUGACUUUACAUGCUUAUAAAAAUGAGCACAAAGCAUCUUCAGCGUUUCUCUCACUUUUCUUCUCCUACAUUCUACUUGAGGGACUUCUUAGUUUUGCCAAUGAUUUUGUUUCCCAAUAAAACAGCAUGUCUGAAUUCAUGCUCUGUGUAUAAGUCCGUGUAUGUGAUUCCACUGUGCCCUAACCUCUCCAAAAGUGUGGGCCUGCUGGUUGGUUUUGGCUGAAUUUGGCAAAAUAAUUGAUAUUUCAAACUGAAGUUCCAAAAUGUUUUAAAAAGAAGGGCUAGGUAGGCACAGGAGAGGGCUUUUUUUGUGCUAGAGACAUCCUGGUGCUGUCAGCUCAGAUCACCUUUUACCACGUACCAGUGAAGCUGCCAUGGAAUGGGCCCUUGGAAAUCAGUCUUCAACACAUCUGUCAGACGUGGAUUAGUUGUUAGUACUGGUUGUUUUGGUACAGUUAGAAUAGAGGAGGGGAGGCUGGGUUGAAAACCCGGAGUUUUCUCUUUUGUUCUAGACUUUUGAGAUUUAUGGUUUUUCCCUGCAAGUAGUCCGGAUUUUGCAGUUGUGAACUAAGCACUAGAGAAUCUGUCCCUAGCGCACCUAUCCUUCAAACUGGGUAUUUAUUGUGUCACAGGGCAGUAUGACUGCCAGAUUUCAACAUAGCUGUGGCUGUCUUCGCACCAAUUUUUGCUAAGGUGUUGAAAGCUUUGAAAAUAAGGCCUUUGGGACUAAGCGGUGAGCGGAGCAAAGAUCAGAGUUUGAACUUGCUUGGAGGUCUUGUGUUGCUGAAUAAACGGACCGACAUUUUUGUAUGGGGCAUCAUUUCUAAACCCACCGUGUCUGUAGAAAUCAAGCAUAAGGAGCAAGUUCAAUCUAGCAGGUCGUCUGAUCAGAAAUAGCUGUGAAGAACAGAGGUAUUUGCAGCAACAGCUCUUGGGAUUUCUAGAAGGAAUGAGUUCGGAUAAAUAUUAAAUCUCCAUUUUGUCUUAAUGCCAGUGAUGGAGAAUGAAUGACAUUAUGGAAAUGUGAAAUGCUUUCCUCUACCAUCUUGAGCCCAGGCUCUUGCAACAAUUCAGCUUCUGCCAACUUCUCUUCAUUCAUUUGCUGAUCUCAGCCAAGCCCUUGUAGAGCUGGGUAACGGUGUUAUUUGCAUGGGAGGUGAAGAUGAUGUAGAGAUGGGUGUCAUAUGUGUACUGCUGACAAGUCAGUCCAUGGUGCCACUGAAUAUUCUCUACAGGCUUUAUAUAGAUAUUGAACAGGCUGGGUGAGGGGAAAGAAUUUCAUGUUAUUCAGCAGGUGGGAAAGGUUUUGGAGGUUAAGGAAAGAGCAAGUGUUUAUCAUAAAUCUCUUGAGCUUACUGGAGAUUGAUGUAAGGGAUGUCUGAAGAUGUAUCAGCUCAGUUCCAAAGGGCUGUGGACAGACAUUUAUUUUCAAACAGCUGAGCUGGCUGGAGAUCUUACAGCCAUUCCAGAUGCUUGCUACCAACCCUCUGCUGAUGGUUGCCAUACCAGUUGCUCUGCUGUUAGAAAAGGUAGUCUAAAGUCUUCCUGAUCUGUUCGGUGAAGUCACUCAGAUAGCUGAAAGUGCUGAUAAAGGUGGUGUUAUUUAACACAGCUGAAAUUGCAUUACCUUUAAAAGAGAGAAUGUUCACUUUACUGUGAGUUUUGGAAAGGAGAGAAAGGAGAAAAGAAGACCUCAGCCUAUCCUGCAGAGCAUUCCCACAGCCCCAGGCAGCUCUUGCAUUGCCUCCUGCAGGCCUGAAGAUGGGCAAGGCAUGUGUGUGGGGCUGGGUACAUCUUCUGGAACAGGCAAUGUAGCUGCUGUUUGGGGUUUGCUUUUAUGAGUGAACAUGUGCUCGGAUAUUUUGUAUAGAUCUUGUGCUUAAAAUAUAUGCAAAGUGCUUGUUUCUUACAUGAGUGACUGAAAUGAUGUAUGUGGAGAUGUGUCAGCCUCCUACGGGGUCAGGUAACCUCAUGUGGCCAAAGCUCAGGUAACCAAGAGUUUGUUAUUAUCCAAGUUUUCUACCAGAGCUCAUAUAAGAAAUUGUUAUUAAUUAGUAUAUUAACACCACUAUGGUUAAAGCUGAACCAGCAAGUUACAAUAAAAUGCUUAAGUUGGGGCAAAGAAGAAAGCUCAUGCACUCGGGUGUUCAUUCAGGAAUGGGAGGAAUGGGAAGAACUGGGAUGAAAGCCUGUGGGUGUUUUUAAGAGAUCCUGGAAUUCUUGCAGGUUUUCCAGAUCCAAAACCACAGAACUGCUGGAGAUUCCUUGACGUGUACACGGGCAAAACAGAGCAAGCAAGAGUACUGGUCAUCCUUGCUGGCCAUUCUGUUUCUGAACUGGGCCAGAAUGAAGCAUCCUACCCUAACAACAGUCCAAAACUCUGCUGGAAUUUGGACUAGCAUCCAAACUCAAGGCACAGGCUCUUCUCUAAAUAAAAAUAACUCAAUCACAAGCUAUUUUGGGGUGGUGACUUUCAGACAAGAAAUGUAGGGCUUACACAGGUUUUUACUUCUGUCAAAUACAUCUGGAUGCUGUACUCCUUCCUGCCGAUACUCUGAACUUGCUCUCUUCAGCUCAGAGCCAAAGAACUCCAACUGAAAGCUAGAAAUGGUAGAACAACUGAUGUUACUCAAGGUAAACAGCAGGGUUUUUUUGGUGGUUUAUUUAUUCCACAGAGGAUAUUCUGCUACUCUGGUUGCUGCUGAUGCUGAUAAAAUUUCUGUCAUGGCCUGUGAUGAACAGCAUGCAAUGUUGGUUCAAGAUAAGAGCCAAAAGCGUGUCAAAGAGUCUUCUCCAAAUAGGAAUCCCCAUAGAUCUGGCUUUUUUGACAGGGUGGUAGUUAACAAAACUGCCACACCUGGCACCAUUGACAUUGCUGCCAAAACUGUCCGUCACCAUCCUCUCCCCUUCCCACAGCACCCAGUAACAAAUCUGUUUUUUCCUGUUUGCUUGGAUAUACCUGGUAUUACGAUAGGAACAGUUCCCGUUCAUGAAGAAUGAGGUGGGAUACAGCGAGUUGUAAGGGACAGGAAGCAAAGGAGGAAGCGGUGUGCUGGGCUAUUGUUGUUAAUGGCACUAAGCAGCAAGUGCUAAAGCAUGUUUUACAUCAGUGCGAGCACUGCUGUGUAUGAUGUCCUACUGGGAGUGCCUGCACUGUGUGCAGCAGAUGGGCAGCAGGAGAGUUUCACUGCUGGGUUCUGAGGUAAGAGUGUUUCCUACCUCAGGAGCUCCAAGCAGUCUAUGAACUUCAGUUGAUUUAAAGCUUUGGACCUUCUAAAUUAUUAUCCAGUUGUAUCCCAGAGCAAGGCAUAUUUGCUGAAGAUGUCACAGGAAGUUUUCAGCUGUGCCAAGUGUAUAAACUAGAUCUUCUGACUCAUAGAUCUAGGGUUUAAUUGAAGGAGUUUUCUUCCUCUUUACAUAGCUACCCUGCCUUCUCUUUGAUAUUAUCCCACCCUCCCCUAAUCACUGGGUGACAUCUGAUCCCUAUGACUCUUCUAUAACCUUCAAGGUCUAUUGUAUUGGGUCCAAGAUCUUGUGUUUUAUUUCUGGCUGUUCUAAUUUUGAGUCCAUCCCUGCAAUUCCAGGGGGCUCACCCCUAAACUGGCUGCAAGCCCUUGGGAAGCAGGGUGCCCCUUGGUGGUACAUCUCACUGUGGAGCAGAGAUUUUCCUGAACCAGUCACUGUCCUCCACUAAACCCUGGUGCAGAGGAUGGCUAUUGCCUCCCACGUGCUUCCUGCAAUUUCUGCUUAAGUAUAGUAUUCUUUGCUGUCUCUCUGCAGUUGGAAUGUAAAGCUGCUUUCUGUAGAUUUAAAGUUGCUUCCUCCUCUGAAGUGGCUUUAUUUUAGUGCUCAGCUCAGUGAUUCCUACACAGUACUUAACCCAGCAGGUAUCUGAAGUCCAAAUACUUUAUUUAGAUCUAAGUUAACGCAUAACAUUGCUUCUAUCAAUAUCAUUAGAUUUUCUUGUGUCUUUAAACUCAGUGUUCUUGAGUCACUUUCUCUUUUUUCCCUCUCGUCAAAGGAUUUCCAAUUUGCAGUUUGGGCUACGGAUGUAAAGGACCAAAUCCUGCACUAGUUUAAGUCUGUAAGAGCCAUGGAACUACGUCCAUGCACGUGAGAACACAGGAUGCUGAAAUCAUUCCACCAUUUUGAAAAGCACACGGUCUAGAGGACUGAUGCUGAGAGAUGUCGUUUAGGAUUAUCUAAUUCCUGAACCUGUAAAUCCUGAUGUAAAUAUAGCUUUUCCCCUGGCUAUACACUUUUAGUGGUGAAGAGAUUCUUUAAAAAAAUAAUAAUAAAAAAUUAGAUGUUAGAUGCUGUGCAUCUAGAGCCCCUUACUGGAGUUAUAACACCUUCUUAACAGCAUUGUAC
ensembl:lncRNA